rfam:Gorilla gorilla gorilla genomic chromosome, chr16, whole genome shotgun sequence
GCUGGGUGUGGUGGUGCACGCCCGUAAUCCCAGCUACUCGGGAAGCUGAGGUGGGAGAAUCACUUGAACCCAGGAGCUGGAGGUUGCAGUGAGCCGAGAUCACACCACUGCACUCCAGCCUGGGUGACAGAGUGAGGCUCCAUCUCAA